AAGGCGUGGACUGAGCCGGCGGGGCGGGUCCCUUCGGAAGAGAGGCGGGACCUGGCGCUUGGCCCCGCUGCUGUCUUCACCGCGGGUUGAGGAGCAGCGUCUUCCUUGUAGGCUUCGGCUUCCUAGCCGCUUGGCCUCUGCUUUGGCUCCGCGGAAGCGCGGCCCUCCUUGGCCGGAUUCUCCCACUUCCCUCUUCUGGAAGCAGGGAAUCUUUAUUGAACUCUCCAGGCCCUGAUAUCCCCUCUUAAAUCUUUUCACCGCUCUCAACUUUGUAAUAAUGGGGGCUGGAAAGCUGCAAGAUUGGCUUUUGUCCUAAACCAUUUGUGGCUAUGAACUUGCCAGAUGAAAGCCAGUGGGAUGAAACUACGUGUCACCUGGCUGUUUGUCAGCAUCCGCAAUGCUGGGCAGCUAUCCGCCGGAUUGAGAGGGGCCACCCUCGAAUUCUAAGCUCCUCCUGCAAACCACCUCUGAAUGUUGAAGAAAGACUCCCAAUGCUCACUGUUGUAAACCUCACCGAUUCCUGCUUCGAGGCCAAGAGGCUUGCUCACCGUCAUUUGUCAAAAUUUGCGUUCACCAAGGCGCGUCCUUUAUUGUCCCAAGGUUCAAAGUUUGACUUGAAAUUUCAAGGCAGGUAAACUAUCAUGGAAUCUUCUUUAAAGGGCUUACUACCUCAAAAUUCCUGAUUGACAUCCUUUGCCCAUAUAGUAGACUUUGGGAAAGCUAGAUUAAGCGUGACAUCAGUUCAGUUAAAGGAGUGAUGAAUAGGCAGUGGGAAACAAAGAAGCCUUAUUUGCAGUGUAGGAGUUGGUGAAAAUGGGGGAGGUGUUUCAGUUUUCUAGGGUCACCAUAACAAAGUACUAGAGUUGUUAUAGACUGUGUGCCUUAACAACAAAUUAAUUUUCUCCCAGUUCUAGAAGCUAGAAGUCCAAUUAAGGUGUUGGCAGAGGUGUUUUCUUCUGAGCCCUCUCUCCUUGCCUUCUUAGUGGCCCUCUUCUCCCUGUGUCUUAACACUGUCGUCCCUUUGUGUGUAUCCGUGUCUGAAUGUCUUCUUCUUGCAAGCACACAAGUCAUAUUGGACUAGAGCCCACCUAUGUGACCUCAUUUUACCCUCAUUGUCUCCUUGAAGACCCUAUCUCCAAAUACAAAUUCAGAGUUAAGAGGGAGUUAGGACUUCAACAUAAGAAUUUUGGGGAACCCAAUUCAGCCCAUAACAGAGAGUGUCUCACCAGCUUCUGUAGAUCUUUAGAAAACUGUCCAUAUAUGCUGCAUUUCUUUUUGUUGUUGUUGUUUUGUUUUUCAGGGCUGUACCCGAGGCACAUGGAGGUUCCCAGGC